UGGGCAUUAGCCAAGCGGUAAGGCAAUGGUUUCUGGUAUCAUUAUUCGCUGGUUCGAAUCCAGCAUGCCCAGCUA
rnacentral:tRNA from 1 species